CCGCAGCCUCGCGUCCUCUCGCGAGCCCGAGAGCCUCCCGUCGGCCGCCGGGCGCGCGCGGGGAGGGGGAGGGGGAGGGGAGGGGAGGGGGAGGGGAGGGGGGGAGGGUGGGCGGGUCCUCGGGGGUCCCGUGGCCGCCCGCGGGCUUCCGGGAGGCGGGAGAGCGGGUCCCGGGCGCCGCCCUGGGCUCCCCGGGCCGCUCCCGCCGUGCUCACCCCCGGUGGCUCCCCGCCGCCGGCGUCGCCGAGUCCCGAAGCCUUCGGCUCGGGGUUGUUCGGAGAGCGAGCGCGAGCGCGGGGCGUUCUUGGCGCGUGUACUUAGAGGUCGGAAUCACCAGGCGGUGCCUUCAGGCAGAAUAGAUGGUGAAGGUCCACCCAGGAUGGACGAUCUCUCUGCAGCCUCCGCUAGUGUUUGGGAAGCUCUGUUCUCCAACCGCCAAACGACCGACCUCUGCCCAGGACAGCGAAGUGUGUGCAGGAUAAUGGGAGAACCAGGGAUGCCUAGGAGGCAGGAAAGUAUUCCCGUCCUGCCAGUUCACGUUGUGACAUGUAGAACAGCAGAGAAAGCUGUUCAAAACUCUGCCUGUAACCUUGCGUUGGAACAAGCUUGACUGCGAUCAAGCCCAGCUGCUGUAAUCAGUGUUUCUGAAAAAAAAGAGAUCUCUUUGGGCCCAGCCUGGGGUCUGACUGUCCGGUCAUCAAGUCCCUUUGAAAACGUGAGCCUUAAAGUGAGCUAGAGGUUUGGUGGUUCCUCAGAGAGUUGAACAUAGAAUUGCCCUGUGACCCAGCAAUUUCACUCCUAGGCGUAUACACAGAAGAAUUGAAACAGGCGUUCAGAGAAAACCUUGUACGCCUGUGUUCGUGGCAGCACUAUUCAGAAUAGCCCAAAGAGGUGAACAACUCACAUAUCCAUCCUUGGCUGGACGGACAGACAAGAUGUGGUAUAUCCGUGCAACGCAGCUACUCAGCCACAGAAAGCAGCGAAGUACUAGCACGUGCUGCAACCUGGAUGCACCCUGAAAACGCUCUGCUGUGUAAAAAAGCCGGCCACAAAAGGCCACGGAGGGUAAGGCUCCGUGUGUGUGAAAUGCCCGGAAGAGAUGAAGCCAUAGAAACAGCAGCUGAGUCGUUGCCAGGGGCAGGGAGUGGGCGAGCGGGGAGAGACUGUUCAGUGGGCAUACGCUUUCCUUUUGGGGGGAUGAAGAUGUUCAGGAACUCGAUAGUGGCGAUGGCUCACUCACAGACCAUUAGGGGUGUACUAAAUGCCCCCAGGGUGUGCACUUUAAAAUGGUCAAAUCAUGGAUUUAAUUAGGUAAAUUUUGCCACAAUUUAAAAAAGAAAAAAAAAAUGAGGUAGGGAAAACAAUCGUUUCCAUAAAGGAAAAGUCAUCGGAGUCAUUUAACAUCGAAGUACCCACAGUGUGGAAUAUUCAGUGAGUGAAAGUGUGAUUGUGUUUUGGGGGUUUUUUGGUUUUGUUUUGUUUUUGGCUGUGCAGCCUGUGGGAUCUUAGUUCCCUGACCAGGGAUUGAACCCGGGCCCUCGGCAGUGAAAGCACGGAGUCCUGACCACUGGACCGCCAGGGAAGUCCCUCAUUAUGUUUAAGGUAACACUAACAACUUAAAUUAUUUGCAGCAGAAGCACAUCUAUUCUAGCUGUUGCUUCAGGUUACACUGUCAUGAUAUGAGUGAUAUUCUAGUUUUCAGAUAAAUUGUUUCAUAACUGAAAAAAAAAAUCCAGACUUUUUAAGGGAAUAUAAGUUCUGUUGGUUGGAAUUGGAUCCGCCGGCUGCUCCUUUUCCAGUAGACCCAGAUGUGAACUCCUUGGAUACACCUGUCUCAGCCAGUUCGUCAAUAUGCCGGUGCCCCGAGGAGCUGUGAUGAAACGAUUAAACAGUUAAUUAGUGGCAGUGCUCUUUUCUUUCUGGGAACAUAUAGUGGUAAGCAGUCUUGCUAGAUAAAUAACGAAGGUGUGACUAAAAAUGUAGAAAUACAUUUCCAGUUGGCUUUUCUCCUCUCACGUGGUCACCUCAGGAUGGAUCAAGCCCUUUCUAGCAGUACUGUCAAUUCCUGAAAUCUACUAUUUGUAACUUUCUGUUGGAACUGAAGGAUAAUUUUCCUUACAGUCACAGUUUUUUAGAAAGUGGCAUUACUUAGCUCGUUUACCAAACUCCGUGCCAAAUAACGUCGGGCUGUUCACAGAAAUCAGUACUUUUCACAAAGGACAAAACUUUGUCACCCUCAGACACAUUCAGAAGGAUUUGCCAGAGGCUCUAGGAACAAUUCCAAAAGAGGAGUUAAAAUUUUUUUCUGGAAUGAUGGGACAUGCACUUUAAAUAAGCGUUUCGCCUGCCAAGGUGACUACUCUCUCUUCGGGACAGGACCACACCCGUUCAGAUAUGUUUGUUUAAGAAUCAGUCCCAUUGCUGGCUGGUGAAGCCCUGUGUGAAUUUUCUAAUGAGGAUGACGGCACGCCCAGGGUCCUGUUAUUGUGACUCCACUGUUGUCUCACGUCAUUGUCAACAGGCGGACUCUGAUUCUUUGUUCCGGGUGGAAGAGGCGUGGGUUUCUCAUGUCUUCCUUUCUGUCCUAGGAAAGGAAGGGAAUUCCCUAGCCCUCCUGUAAUACAAAUCCCGUACAGUUGUGUGUGUGUGUGUGUGUGUGUGUGUGUGAGAUUUUCAACCGCCCCAAAGCACUUUGACCUAGUUGAUCUCAUUCUCUGCUCACAAUAGCCUGACGAGGAACACCCAGCUUUAAGCUCACUCCCAGAGCAGGAGGAAGCAGAGGGGAAGAAAGCUCUGAGUGAUGUGCUCACAGCCUGGCUAGUUGCAGAGCCAGAACUAGAAAUCCCCCCCACCACCACCUUUUGACUCUGAAUCCAGGGCUCUUUCUGAUACGUCCAAAAGAGGCGGUUCCCUGAGUGCCCAGGUGUGCAAAGACUGAAUUUAAGAAACAAGUUGUUAAGUUUGUUUGUUUGUUUAUUUGUUGGUUCGUUGCUUGGUCUGUUUUUCCAGCCCCUUUCGGGCUAACUGCCACCUCAAAGUUUACCAGUUCUGAGGCCGGGUCUAGUAAGAUGUUCUGUGAUGGAAAUCAGGCUCUGGUUUGUAAAAUGUUCCAGGUGGCUGAUGUAGAAAUAAGAAAAGAGAAGCCACGCUUAUGGCAAUAUUUACAUGGUGGCGGAAGCCCCAGAUGUUCCCUUAACGUGAGUUCAAUAUGAAAAGGGAACUUUUUUUGUUAUGAAGUGCGAUGGUGCCCCUACCAGAAUAAGCCUCUCCUGUGGAAAGUUUCGCAUGAAACUAAGCCUAUGGAAUUGCAUUGUUGGUGGGUUUUGUUGCUGUUGUUAUUAAAGGAAAACAUGAUUUUAAUUAUUGGUUGUACUUUUCUCAGUCUCCAAGAAAGAGCUGUGAGCUGCUGUUGACCAGCUGUGACCUCACUCAGCUUCUCCAAAGUCAAAAGCCUGUGUCUGAAAGACACACACCAGCUCUCGCAGAAACCUUUCCACCUUGCUUACUGCAUCAGACACAUUUAUGGGCAGUCUAUUUAUAAAACACUCAACGCAAGGCUUUGCUUGGAAAUCUGAGGUUCUUUCUGGGAAGCUUGAAACAUCCCAGCUCAGUCUCUCUCCUUUCUUUCUCCUUACAGCUUUCCAAGAUGAGGACGACUUUUUACGUUUUAUUGCCUGUGAGCAGGCUGCCCCUUUCCAGUAACACGUACGGGUCCUCUAACACAAGCUCUGUUUCUCCAGACAAGUUUAAGUGUGCAAAACCUCAGCUGAGUCCUGUAUCUGAACGUCCUCUGCUCCCAACCCAGCUGCUGCUGAGGUCUGUCCUUGGAACGUGGACUAGCAGGCUUGAGCCUGCUGCUUGCUCCUGGCUAGCUGGCCAGGCAGGUAGCAUCACACAUCACGGCCUAGAGACCUGGCCUUGGCCUCAGUGUAAACACCAGGACGAGUUGACCAUCAAGCAGUGAGGGCUCCCCCAGGGGCGCUGAGAAAUGGUCCAUGUGGCCUUUGUCAGGCUGUGGUGGCCUGGCUCCCUGCUGCAAAUCACGUCAUCACCGCCUCUGCCUCCAGACUCCUGUGUCAGCUGCUGAGGAAGAGAAGGGCUAGCUCAUGGCAGGAUUCAGGGAAAGGCACCAACCACUGUGUGAGAAUCGCAGUCAGAGCUCUGGAAGAUGAGCCCUGGCCACAGAGGUCCUUCUCUCCCUCUCUGGCUGCCUGUCUCUUGGCCGUGGAGGGUUUUGCCAGGCCCACACACGAGAGGUUGAGGAGGAGGUAAGAGCCAGAGGAAGUGCUUCCUUGUGUGGCAAGCAGUUUCGCACUGUGAUUGUUUCCCUUUCUUUGCUAAUACGCAGAACAGUAAUUGGAAAACGUCCCAUAAGCAGCGCGCUGAGGUAAUCUGCUUUCCUGGUUAAACCCUACGAAGCACAUCAGAGUGUCUGCUAGUCGUUUCGUUUCCCAGAGAGAGAGUGGUGCACGGGAGCUUGGGGAGAACUCGGUUAGCAUAUCCGAGCCUUGCCUCUCCUGUCUGUAAAAUGGGAGCAUUUAUGCCUCAAGGUACGUCCUGAGGAUUAAAUUAUGGAACAAAUACACUCCGUCUCGGCCCAUGCACGAGAGGUUGGUUUUAGAUUAUUUGAGGGCAAGGCCACCAGACUUCUUUAAAAACCUUCUGAAGGUUUGGCAGUAUUGUCCUGGUCGCACAUUGCCCCACAUAUUUCCUGAGCUCUUCCUUCUAUGGUUUAAACAUCUCUCUUCUAGAGAACUACAUUCAGUGUCCUAUGAUAAACCAUAACGGAAAAGAAUAUAUAUAAAAACAGACUGUAUGUGUAUCUGUGACUGAAUCACUUUGCUGUCCAGCAGAAAUUAACACAACAUCGUGAAUCAACUAUACUCCAGAGAGAAAGAAAGAAAGAAAGAAGAGAGAGAGAGAGAGAGAGAGAGAGAGAGAAAGAAAGAAAGAAAGAAAGAAAGAAAGAAAGAAAGAAAGAAAGAGAAAGAAAGAAAAAGAAAGAAAGAAAAGAAAGGAAAGAAAAGAAAUCUCUCUUCCCCCAUACAGGGUCUGUUGAUACAACAGUGAGAAAAACACAUGCUUAUUGGGGGUUGUGCCCCAAAUCUGAACACUGAAGAAGGGCGGGGUUUAUUAGUUUCCACCAGCACUAGGAGCGUUAAGUAAGGAAUCACCUCGACCAGCAAGCAGAGAUUCAAGUGGAGAUGCCAGCACAGUGCAUCCAGAGCACGGGCUUUGUCUUGUAAUCUGUAAAAUGGGUACAGUAAUCCCAGAGUAUUUGGGGGGAGUUAUAUAAAGUGACAGAGCAGGCUUUUAGUCUAUGUCACCAUGUUUCCUUCUGUCAAAAGUAUUCGCUUGUCCAACUGAUGAAGUAGCACCUGCACCGUCAAGGUCGUGGGGGCGAGGGGAUGCCUCAGCCCACCCGCCAGGCUCUGUGCACACCCCUC